AUGCUCAUUGAACCUUCAAAACAAUAUAAGUGGUCAGACCUAUCAAGACUAACCGUUUCAACUGACCAAAAAGAGAAAUCAAAGCUAGCAGAAAAACACAUGAUAGACAUCCAAGAAAGAAACUUGUAUGUACAGCCAUGUCAAUUGUUGCUUCAAAAGGCCAGUAUUUCUCUGGAACUUCUUUCACCGCAAGCCCAAUGUUUUUUCACACGACUACACGGCAAUGUACUUGGGACAAAAGCAGGCCCAAUAGAGUGCAAUGAACAUAUCAAAGUCAAAGAUGCCAACAUAUACGUAGGAAAACAUGAAGUAAUGAUCUUGGAUUAA
rnacentral:rRNA from 1 species